GGCAGUGGCAGCCCAGUGGUUAAGCUGUUGCACUACUACUCAGAAGGUUGUGAGUUCAAACCCCAGCAGUGCUG